rnacentral:rRNA from 1 species
UACGGAGGGUGCGAGCGUUGUCCGGAAUCAUUGGGCGUAAAGGGCGCGUAGGUGGCCCGGUCAGUUUGUGGUGAAAGCGCGGGGCUCAACUCCGCGUCGGCCAUGAAUACUGCUGGGCUGGAGCACUGUAGAGGCAGGCGGAAUUCCGGGUGUAGCGGUGGAAUGCGUAGAGAUCCGGAAGAACACCGGUGGCGAAGGCGGCCUGCUGGGCAGUUGCUGGACACUGAGGCGCGACAGCGUGGGGAGCAAACAGG